rnacentral:rRNA from 1 species
ACACUUCAUUUCGGUGGAAAUAGGUUAUGAUUUCUGGGGCGCAGAUCGUUUUCGUCAAAAAAUUGAGUGUGCAAAGCAGCAGAUUUAUCCAUUCUGCCACCGAAUACAUUAGCAUGGGAUAAGGAAUAGACCCUGUCCUCCUAUUUAGUGUUGGUUUUUGAGGACCAGGGUAAUGAUUAAUAGGAUAGUUGGGGGCAUUAAUAUUUAAUUGUCAGAGGUGAAAUUCUUGGAUUUAUGAAAGAUUAACUUCUGCGAAAGCAUCUGCCAAGAUGUUUUCUUUAAUCAAAAAGAAAGUUAGGGGGUCGAAGCGAUCAAAUACCGUCGUAGUCUUUCCCAUAAACGAUGCCGACCAGCGAUUGGGGGGCGUUUAAUAAAAAACACCCCCCAUUAACUCGCAUCGUUUUUUUUAAAUAUUGCCCCAUAUGCAAAUGUGUGGUUGUGUUUUAAGGAAACGCGAUUUGUCUUAAUGGCCCGGUGAAUGACUCCCCUAGCAGCUUGUGAGAAAUCAUAAGUCUUUGGGUUCCGGGGGGAGUAUGGUCGCAAGGCUGAAACUUAAGGAAUUGACGGAAGGGCACCACCAGAGUGGAGCCUGCGGCUUAAUUGACUCAACACGGGGAAACUUACCAGUCCGGACAUGUAGGAUGAAAUGAUGCUCUUUCUGAUUCUAGGGGGUGUGCAGGCCGUUCUUA